rnacentral:rRNA from 1 species
UACAGAGGGUGCGAGCGUUAAUCGGAAUGACUGGGCGUAAAGCGCGCGUAGGCGGUUAUACAAGUUGGGUGUGAAAUCCCUGGGCUUAACCUAGGAAUUGCAUUCAAAACUAUAUGACUUGAGUGAAGUAGAGGCAAGUGGAAUUUCCGGAGUAGCGGUGAAAUGCGUAGAUACCGGAAGGAACACCAGUGGCGAAGGCGACUUGCUGGGCUUUAACUGACGCUGAGGCGCGAAAGCGUGGGGAGCAAAC